rnacentral:rRNA from 1 species
GACGAACGCUGGCGGCGUGCCUAAUACAUGCAAGUAGAACGCAGUUGCGAACGGGUGAGUGACGCGUAGGUAAAUGCCUCAUAGCGGGGGGUCACUAUUUGAAACGAUAGCUAAUACCGCAUACUGUGAGAUGGAUCUGCGUUGUUUUAGCUAGGUGGUGGGGUAAAGGCUCACCAAGGCGACGAUACAUUGCCGGACUGAGAGGGUGGACCGCCAAACUGGGAAUUAGACACGGGCCAGAACCCUACGGGAGGCAGCCGGAGGGAAUCAUCGGCAAUGGAGGGAAGGCUGACCGAGCAAAGCCGCGUGAGUGGAGGAAGUUUUUGGGUCGGAAAGCUAUGUUGUGAGAGAAGCGGUAACUAACCAGAAAGGGACGGCUAACUACGUGCCAGCAGCCGCGGUAAUUC